rnacentral:sRNA from 1 species
UCAGAGUCCACAUUUU